rnacentral:misc_RNA from 1 species
GUCACGCCCGAAGUCAUUACCCUAACCGCAAGGAGGGGGAUGCCGAAGGCAGGGCUAGUGACUGGGGUGAAGUCGUAACAAGGUAGCCGUACCGGAAGGUGUGGCUGGAUCACCUCCUUUUAGGGAGACCUUCACACAAGAGCAACCCAAAAAAUAACGCUCUUUUGUUGUGACAAUCCCAAGGUCGUGCCAGAGAUAGGUAGUGUAACUUUCCAACUAACGAUCGGUUCGUGCUCUAAUUUAGAGCAAAACUAGCACCUUGAAAACUGCAUAGAAAAUAGAUAGAGAAAAAAGAUAUCAGAUGUCUGAUAUCCAGGUGAAAAAAAAUCCAGGUCAAGCUACAAAGAGCUAACGGUGGAUACCUAGGCACACAGAGG